UACGUAGGGUGCAAGCGUUGUCCGGAAUUAUUGGGCGUAAAGAGCUCGUAGGCGGUUUGUCGCGUCUGUUGUGAAAACUCGGGGCUUAACCCCGGGCCUGCAGUGGGUACGGGCAGACUAGAGUGCGGUAGGGGAGACUGGAAUCCUGGUGUAGCGGUGAAAUGCGCAGAUAUCAGGAGGAACACCGGUGGCGAAGGCGGCGACCUGGUCCGAUUACUGACGCUGAGGCGCGACAGCGUGGGGAGCAAACAGG
rnacentral:rRNA from 1 species